UAGAGUUUGAUCCUGGCUCAGGAUGAACGCUAGCGGCAGGCCUAACACAUGCAAGUCGAGGGGUAGUUACUUUCGGGUAAUGAGACCGGCGCACGGGUGCGUAACGCGUAUGCAAUCUACCUUUUACAGGGGAAUAGCCCAGAGAAAUUUGGAUUAAUGCCCCAUAGUAUGUAUGAAUCGCAUGGUUUAUACAUUAAAGUUCCAACGGUAAAAGAUGAGCAUGCGUCCCAUUAGUUAGUUGGUAAGGUAACGGCUUACCAAGACGAUGAUGGGUAGGGGUCCUGAGAGGGAGAUCCCCCACACUGGUACUGAGACACGGACCAGACUCCUACGGGAGGCAGCAGUGAGGAAUAUUGGACAAUGGGCGCAAGCCUGAUCCAGCCAUGCCGCGUGCAGGAAGAAGCAUCUAUGGUGUGUAAACUGCUUUUGUACGGGAAGAAACACUCCUACGUGUAGGAGCUUGACGGUACCGUAAGAAUAAGGAUCGGCUAACUCCGUGCCAGCAGCCGCGGUAAUACGGAGGAUCCAAGCGUUAUCCGGAAUCAUUGGGUUUAAAGGGUCCGUAGGCGGUUUGAUAAGUCAGUGGUGAAAGCCCAUCGCUCAACGAUGGAACGGCCAUUGAUACUGUCAGACUUGAAUUACUAGGAAGUAACUAGAAUAUGUAGUGUAGCGGUGAAAUGCUUAGAUAUUACAUGGAAUACCAAUUGCGAAGGCAGGUUACUACUAGUGGAUUGACGCUGAUGGACGAAAGCGUGGGGAGCGAACAGGAUUAGAUACCCUGGUAGUCCACGCCGUAAACGAUGGAUACUAGCUGUUGGGCGCAAGUUCAGUGGCUAAGCGAAAGUGAUAAGUAUCCCACCUGGGGAGUACGUUC
rnacentral:rRNA from 1 species